AUGAACCGUUAUAACCGGCGAUUUCCGAAUGGGGAAACCCAGUGUGUUUCGACACACUAUCAUUAACUGAAUCCAUAGGUUAAUGAGGCGAACCGGGGGAACUGAAACAUCUAAGUACCCCGAGGAAAAGAAAUCAACCGAGAUUCCCCCAGUAGCGGCGAGCGAACGGGGAGCAGCCCAGAGCCUGAAUCAGUAUGUGUGUUAGUGGAAGCGUCUGGAAAGGCGCGCGAUACAGGGUGACAGCCCCGUACACAAAAAUGCACAUGCUGUGAGCUCGAUGAGUAGGGCGGGACACGUGGUAUCCUGUCUGAAUAUGGGGGGACCAUCCUCCAAGGCUAAAUACUCCUGACUGACCGAUAGUGAACCAGUACCGUGAGGGAAAGGCGAAAAGAACCCCGGCGAGGGGAGUGAAAAAGAACCUGAAACCGUGUACGUACAAGCAGUGGGAGCACGCUUAGGCGUGUGACUGCGUACCUUUUGUAUAAUGGGUCAGCGACUUAUAUUCUGUAGCAAGGUUAACCGAAUAGGGGAGCCGAAGGGAAACCGAGUCUUAACUGGGCGUUAAGUUGCAGGGUAUAGACCCGAAACCCGGUGAUCUAGCCAUGGGCAGGUUGAAGGUUGGGUAACACUAACUGGAGGACCGAACCGACUAAUGUUGAAAAAUUAGCGGAUGACUUGUGGCUGGGGGUGAAAGGCCAAUCAAACCGGGAGAUAGCUGGUUCUCCCCGAAAGCUAUUUAGGUAGCGCCUCGUGAAUUCAUCUCCGGGGGUAGAGCACUGUUUCGGCAAGGGGGUCAUCCCGACUUACCAACCCGAUGCAAACUGCGAAUACCGGAGAAUGUUAUCACGGGAGACACACGGCGGGUGCUAACGUCCGUCGUGAAGAGGGAAACAACCCAGACCGCCAGCUAAGGUCCCAAAGUCAUGGUUAAGUGGGAAACGAUGUGGGAAGGCCCAGACAGCCAGGAUGUUGGCUUAGAAGCAGCCAUCAUUUAAAGAAAGCGUAAUAGCUCACUGGUCGAGUCGGCCUGCGCGGAAGAUGUAACGGGGCUAAACCAUGCACCGAAGCUGCGGCAGCGACGCUGAUGCGUUGUUGGGUAGGGGAGCGUUCUGUAAGCCUG
rnacentral:rRNA from 1 species